AUGCUGGCUAAUAUUUCGAAGUUGUGGAGUAUCUAUAAACCUGCAAAGGAAUAUCAUCCUCUCGUGGUUUCUGUGAUCUUAACAGGAUACCUUUUUUACAAAAUUGAAUUUGGAGGUGAACAUUCAGCAGAAAGAAGAGCAGCGGAAAAAAAGAGGAGGAGAACCAGGCCUCACCAUCAUUAAAACUUGCAAUCUUCAGUAUGAAUUUUUGAACUGUCAUCCUAGUUGUCAACAAGCUGAGCUACAUCAUGGGAAACUAAGUGUUCUGUAAGCAGUGUGCAUCAUUAGCACAAUGGUAAUCUGCCAUCUGUCAUGGAGUGAAUAAAUGUGGUGUUCAAGAAGUGUGCUGAAUAUUUUAUUAAUUUAUAUUUCCUAGACAUAAUUGAUAUGUUUUACUUAUUUAUUUUCUUCACUACUUUUUUAAUUGUCCAGGUCCCAAAUUGGCAUGCAGUACAACAUAAUGACAUUAUACAAUACAAUUAUCUAAAAUACAAUACUAUAUUUAGCACUCCUAGGGUUCAGGUUCCAGGAUACACUAAAGAAAACUUCAGAACAUAGUAUAGUAGAUAAAACAUGUUAAAGACAACAGGAUCUAGAACAGUGUUUCUCAACCUUGACGACUUUUAAGUCCUGUGGACUUCAACUCCCAGAAUCCCCCAGCCAGCACAGCUCAAACACUGAUAUAGAAUAACAUAAGACCAUAAUAUCUAACCAACCAAAACCAGCCAAAAUAAAGUAGUUUCUAUUUAAAGAACCUAAGCAAAAUGUUUGUCAACUGACACAGCUACAAAGUCAAGUCCCAAGAGAAAAAAGCUGAAGGCUUUUAGAUAGUAGCAGUGGAUUGGCUCUUUCUAUCCUUUUGUCAAGUAUUUUGUCAAUAGACUAUCAGAUGUGCUAACCCUGGUACCUAAAACUGAAUAGUGAUGACAAGGAUAAAAUUACAAGGUUGCAUGAACCUGAAGUGUAGGUGUGAGGAGAGAUAAAACCUGAGGGGAAUGUGAGAAAUAUAGACUGCUGAAUGUACUGAAACAUCAAUUGCGUACUAGAUUGUAGAUAAAAACAUGUAUCGUGCAUUCCCACAAGUUGGCAUGGAUCACAGUCACAUACACAAUCAGAUACUGCCAGCUUUAUUGGGAAAAAACCUUUUGGUAUAAGAAUGCAUAAUUUUCCUUUAUAAUUUCAUGUCUUUCCAUAUCUCUUCUGAGAUUCCAGCAGGCCGCUACCAUCCUUGGUCCACCUAGAACAAUCAGACAACAAAUGAGAUUUGGGCCUUUAUGUUGAUGUUUCCCCAUGGCCAUUGGAUGGAAGAUUCUGCAUUUAGCUUUAAAAGAAGUGCAACAAUAUGCCUUCCUAUAAUGAUUCCUACCUGCUGGAUUUCUGGAGGGCCAUAUUCUCCCAGGCCUUGAGCUUGAUUAGCUGAAGCCUCCCACAGGAUGUUGGUAAAUGUGCUACCUAGUAGAUUCACGAUCUUUCACUUCACUUCACUUAGAUUUAUAUAUGCUUUAUGGUGCUUUUACAGCCCUCUCUAAGCAGUUUA